CGAGAAAACCCCCCCCCCCUUUCCCGUUUUUUUAAGAGAAAAAAAAAUUCAACAAGGGUUUCCGUAGGUGACCCUCCGAAAAGAUCAUUGUUGUAUCUGACCGGUCCUUUGCCAUAAAACCAGCUUGCGGUAAGCAAAUCGAUCAAACCACCCUGUGCUCAUUUAAAUUGACUGGGACCUCCUAACGCCCGUUACACCAACCGCCCGGGGAAACUCGGGCGGGGCCCUCCUGGGGUGUCAAGAAAGUACAGGAUGGGAACAAUGGACAAUCCGCAACGAAGACCCUACCGGCUCCCGCCCACGGGUACCGUUCACAGACUAGCUGAUUGUGGGCGGGGCGAUCGCGCCCUGUCUAAGAUAUAGUCGGACUCUACCCGAAAGGAUACAGGAUACCCUGUCCGUAUGUGAACCUGCGGAAGGAUCAUUAAAGAAUGCCCCGUUUUUGAAAUGGGUUCUAUUCCCAAACCGUGUAUACAUACCUUUGUUGCUUUGGCAGGCCGCUUUCGGGCGUCUGCUCACGCUGACCGCGCCUGCCAGAGGACCCAAACUCCUUUGUUUAGUGAUGUCUGACUACUAUAUAUUAGUUAAAACUUUCGACAACGGAUCUCUUGAUUCUGGCAUCGAUGAAAACGCAGCGAAAUGCGAUAAGUAAUGUGAAUUGCGAAAUUCACUGAAUCAUCGAAUCUUUGAACGCACAUUGCGCCCGCUGGUAUUCCGGCGGGCAUGCCUGUUCUAGCGUCAUUAUGACCAAUCACGCUCUGCUUGGCCUUGAGCCCGCUGUACCAGCGGCCCGUGACAUUAGUGGAGCUGCCGUCUGGUUCUAGCGUACGAAUAUUUCUCGCUAUAAGGUCCAGUCGUUUCCCGCCACAACCCUCUACUUUCGUAAG
rnacentral:rRNA from 1 species